rnacentral:rRNA from 1 species
UACGAGUGCCUCAAGCGUUAUCCGGAAUCAUUGGGCGUAAAGGGUGUGUAGGUGGUCUUGUUAGUCUUCUGUCAAAUUCUUCGGCUUAACCGGGGGUCCGCAGAGGAAACGGCAAGACUCGAGGGUGCGAGGGGUGAAUGGAACUCAUAGUGUAGGGGUGAAAUCCGUUGAUAUUAUGGGGAACACCAAAAGCGAAGGCAAUUCACUGGCGCAUUCCUGACACUGAAACACGAAAGCGUGGGUAGCGAAUGGG